CCACGCGUUUGAAAAUCUAAGCAACAGGCUGAUAAGCAGAAUUUAACUUGCUGAAGGAUGCAGAGAACUUGACGAUUUUAAGAAAUCGGUGGGCAGAGGAGGUGCUUCCCUUCACAUGACCGCAGCUUGAAAUUGGGCAGAGAGGCUGCCAGGUAAUGUGAAAAGGCAGAGUGUCUCACGGCACCUGGUGCGAGGCACCGGUCCUGAGCGAGAGCCGUGAGACCGGAGUCCUGCAGCGGAGACUUCGGGGGUCUUUCGCCGCUGGUACCUGUAACUGUAGCCAACACCCUUGGCUGUGUGAAUUUUGGCUGAGAUGGCGAGGAGUGCUGCAACCCAAGUAUGAUUCUACCGCCAACUCCAUCCAUGUUUCAUACUGAGAAUGGGGAGAAGACAGCAGAAUGAAUGAAAGUGUAGAUCAGAGCCAAGACUUUCAUCUUCAAGGUGGAUCAGAUCUGGGUAGCAAGG